GUCAUGUGGUAGCUCAGUGGUUAAGAUGUUGGACUUCUGCUCAAAAGGUAGUGAGUUCAAAUCUCAGCACUGCCA